rnacentral:lncRNA from 1 species
CUUAUCAAUGCUUCUAUAGUGUAGACCAAAGAAUUAAUCUCCUGAGCACAUGCAGGCAAAACCUAGGAAGUCGGGAGCGCUUGAUGAGGCUAUGAGGUGUUGGUUUUCCUGAAAACCAGACAACAAAGCCUGGGAUCUGGGCUGCCUUAUCCCAGGCUUACAGGCCUGGAACAGUGGCUGGUAUGACCUCUGCAUCUCGGGCCUCUGUUGCAUCCGUGUUGUGAAAAUACAUAGUACCCAGUAGCCUCAUUCUGAAACAUGACUUAGGCGUGUCAUUGCUGUCAUGUCACUCCUAUGUAAUAUGUUCUGACCUUUUAUUAGUGAAUUAAACAUGCUGGGUCUAUCUCAUGACAUCUCACGAUCAGAAGCCACCACUGCAAGCUGCUCCUUCUGCCCCAGGAACUCCUUUCUGGUUGAUUCCAAUUGGAGCUCCCUCCCUGAGAUUCAGUCAUUCUCAUUCUCUCUCUCUCUCUCUCUCUCUCUCUCUCUCUCUCUGUCUCUCUCUCUCUCUCUCUCUCUCUGUCUCUCUCUCUCUCUCUCUCUCUGUCUGUCUCUCUCUCUCUGUCUCUCUCUCUCCCCUCAGUUCUGUCUAUCCUGCCCUGUUCUGUCUCAUUUUCAUCCUCUUGCCUCCCUUCUUUUGUCCAAGUAAGCAAAUAAAUUCAAAAAGCAAUGCUUUAAGGGGUGGAAUUCUACAAACAACCAAACAAAACCCCAGCUGCGCCGUGAAAGCUGAGAGCGCUUGCUAGGCAAACCGCUGAGUCCAAACUCUUGUCAGUUACACUUUCAGAAAGGAGUCGGGCAUUAUCUGCCAGUGUAGAAAACCUGUGCACCCUUUGAUGUGGCGAUUCCAGUUCAGUAAAUUUAUUUUGUAGAUAUAUUUGCACAAAGGUGCCAUUGUGUGUGUAAGUGCAAGUGUGUGUGUGUGUGUGUGUGUGUGUAAGUGCAAGUGUGUGUGUGUGUGUGAGUGUGUGUGUGAAUGUGUUUGGUGGAGGUGUAGUCAGGUGGGGUGUAGUCAGGUGUGGGGGAAGUGGGUGUCUCCACAGGCCCAUCCUGGGGCAUCCCUUUCCACUGAGGGACCAGCUACACAAUGGUAUAGUAUAGAAUAGAGUUUAUUCAGGGCAUGGGGAGGGGAGACAGAGAAAGGAAGAAAGAGAGAGAGAGAGAGAGAGAGAGAGAGAGAGAGAGAGAGAGAGAGAGAAAGGGGGGAGUAGAGGCCAACCAUAAGCAUGUAGAGAGUGGGGGGAGAAGAAUGGGAAGGGGAGAAAGGGGCUAGAGGUUAGAGAGGGAGCAAGAAGGCAAGAGAGAGUGGAGAGGACGAGCAUCCUCCCCCCCCCCCCUUUUUUUUUUUCAAGACAAGGUUUCUUUGUCCUGGAACUCAUUUUGUAGACCAGACUGGUCUGGAACUCAGAAAUCCGCCUGCCUCUGCCUCCCAAGUGAGCGUCCCCUUUUAUAGUGAGUCAGGCAUGCCUGACUGUUGCCAGGUAACUGUGGGGCGGAGCCUAGACAAAAUGCUAACAAUACUGUCUUACAGAGGAGAAAUACACACAGCCUAUUCUGGCGUUGGGGAUAACUACCCCACCUUUAGGUCGAGUGUAAGCUUUUCUACUUUGUACUGUUUUAUUUUUCACACAUUUCAUUAGCUGUUGCUUAAUCGUUAAAGUUUUCCAAGAAACUCGUUAAUACAACAUUUGGUUGUUCUGUUUAUUGUUUUCCCCUAUGAACUCUUGACUUGACAUAAAUUUUGCCACAUUUGCCUCCUAAAUCAUUACCUUCUGCUAAUCUGUGUUGCAUCAAUUGUUAAAUUUGUACAACAGUUAAAAAACAAAACAAAACAAAACAAAACCCUGGGAGGAUAGGGGGAAGCUGGGAUUGUUUUUCCAACCGCUAGCCCUGUUAUAAAUCACCUCUAGCCCUGACCUGUUGGAGAACCCCUGUGGGAAGCCACAUGUGCCGUUGCAGGGUGGAGCUGGCUACCGAUGGCCACCACGCAUACAUAGGCAGUAAAGUUCUUUUUGCCAAGAUAAGGUUUUGAGAAUUAACCAAAAUUAACCAAUCAGAUGAGAGAGAAGUUAACCAAUCAGAUGAGAGAGAAGUUAACCAAUCAGAUGAGAGAGAAGUUAACCAAUCAGAUGAGAGAGAAGUUAACCAAUCAGAUGUAGGCAUGCAAAUGAGGUGGUAAGCAUAACCCAAGCACAACCAAUCCGGGUGUGAGACACUCCUCUCCUAGGCCUAUAUAAGCAGCACCAGUUCUGGGCUUGGGGUCUCUUCGCCUCUGCAAUCAAGCUCUCCCAAUAAACGUGUGCAGUAGGAUCCUGUUGCAGCGUUGGGCGCACUCAAGAACCACCCCCACCCACCCACCCACACCCCCCCCCCCCCCCCCGGCUACGAAGAUGGCAGUACCGCAUUACUGAAUGGCUCUCCAAGCUUGGCACAAAAUGAAGGGCUCCCUUUCUCAGUGGGGCUUCCCUUUCUCUGCUUGACCUUUGUCUGGAGAGUGUUCCCUGAAUGCAGGUGCCUGGCCUAGUCUCAAGAAUGACCUUGUGCAGAACUUCAUAACAGAGCACACAAGUCCAGCUCUGGCUUCUGGCCCAUAUGAUAAUUAGGUACUGUGUUAUAACCAAUCAGCUCUUUCCAUCCCUAACCCAAAAAUCACCUGAGAAAAGUCUGGUAGCUCAUGGUGCAGACAGGCUCAACUUCAUCUUUCUUGUUAAGAACAACACCCCCACCCCUGCCCGCAAGAUCCUGAGAUUCUUCUUCAUGUAAAUGAAGCGUACUCAGCACCUCCACCCUAGCCAAUAAUGUACACGCACCUUGGAAAUCCCUACCUACUCCCCAAGAUCUGUAUAGCUCUUGUUCACCCCAAUAAACUUGAGCUGUCUCCCUAAAGCUGUUCCUGGAAGUUAAUCCGUCUGUAUUCACAGCCAUUUGAAUCCUUCCCACAGCACCUCUGCUCCCCUCACCUUUGUGGACUGGUGGACAACAACCACAAGGGAGGGGAGAUCCACACUGGCCUUCACUGUGUCAUCUCACAGGUAGAGACUAGGGAAGAUACUCUAGAAGUCUAAAAUUUUCACAUUCUGUGUGGUAGUCAGCUUCUUCAUCGUGACAAAACCAGAGGGAACAGCUUGAAAGAAAGAUUUAUCUCACAGUUUUAGAACUUUUGUAACAAGAAUUUUAGGGCAAAAAUCUCAGGUUCUGCUUGGCCACUCAUCCCCAGUACACUGAUUAAAGAGAGAGGCAAUGGUGAAAAUCAAAAAAUGGGUGAGUUCAUCAAUGUGCACUGGGAGGAGGACCAGACAGAGGUUCCAGUAACCCCAAGUCCAUCUCCAGGGUACUGGUGUGAGUUUUCAGCUCAGUUAGAGGAAGAGCCUGUGGUGAGUCAAAACUUCAGGGCUGUAAGACUAUGUGAUAAGGUAAGGCACCCACUUGUGACGGACAGUAAUCAGAAAAUAGGAGGGGCAGGGACAUGGGUCCAGAUACAUCCUCAGUGUCCUACUUCAACCAACCAGGUUCUACCUCCUAAUAAAGUCAGGUUGUUGUAACAGAGCAAAUGAAAACUAAAAAUAAAUUUAUAAAAUCUGGUGUCUCACCAGGAGGAAAUUGACUUAUAUUCCCUUUGAUAAGUUUCAACCUUCAUUGUAAAUGACAUCUAACUACUUCAUAUUUGUGAUAGUUUGAAUAUGCUUAGCCCAGGGAGUAGCACUAUGAGGAGGUAUGACCUUGUUGAAGUAGGUGUGACCUUGUUGGAGGAAGCAUGUCACUGUAGAGGUGAGCUUUGAGACUUUUAUGCUCAGGUCCUACCCAGUGUGGAAAAGAGUCCACUCCUGGAUCCCUAUGCAAGAUAGUCCCUCUUCCUGGCUGCUUUCAAAUCAAGAUGUAGAAGUCUUGGCUCUUCCAGUACCAUGUCUUCCUGCAUGCUGCCAUGUUUC